UGUGGUCUUCACUUAUGGAUACUUCCUCUUUUUUUGCGGUUUUAACACACACUCGGACCAACCCAAACAAGUAGUAACUUGAUUUAAUUGCUUCAGUAAGCUUAAAAGACCACGCGUACAUCGCGAAUGCUAGAUCCUUUUUCCCAUUUCUUGUUUUUACAAUACAAUAAAAGAGAAGAACCGUAAAUAUACCAUUAUUAAAUCUCACGUCGUUUAUACUUCCUUGCUUUUCGUCCCCAUUUCUCAUUGCGCUGAGAGUAUAAUCUCUCACUUCUGUGAACCUUGGCUAUGUCGUUUACCGACUCUUCAAUUUGGCCAACUUUUCGUCGUCUUUUUGGAACGCCAGUCUUCUGGUGAAAUUCCGGGAUUUAUUCAUUAUUUUCUUUGACUCGUUAGUAACUUCUAACAUGCGAAACAGCUCAUUAAGCAUCGACUCCUUUCCCGUUGAUGUCUGUAAAAUAGAAUUAGCAACGUGCAAUUUGUGGGAAAGAAAUAGUGUCGCUUGACAUUGCUCUGUUGGGGGAAAUGAAAUGUUUUUGUUUAUGCAAAUGUUUGUUGUUGCUUUUAUUUUGACGUAACAGUUCAUGUCACCUCAUGAACUAGCGAUAUAUUUUUAUGUCGUAGCAACAUUAGCCUAAACUUCUCUUUUGGUUUAUUAUUUAUCUCGGAUUAACCAACCUCGUCACAUGCCUUGUUCGCUUGUUAAAUAUGCAAGACUCUUAC